AACGAACGCUGGCGGCAUGCCUAACACAUGCAAGUCGAACGAGACCUUCGGGUCUAGUGGCGCACGGGUGCGUAACGCGUGGGAACCUGCCCUUAGGUUUGGAAUAACUCCCCGAAAGGGGUGCUAAUACCGGAUAAUGUCUUCGGACCAAAGAUUUAUCGCAUUUGGAUGGGCCCGCGUUGGAUUAGCUAGUUGGUAGGGUAAAAGCCUACCAAGGCGACGAUCCAUAGCUGGUCUGAGAGGAUGAUCAGCCACACUGGGACUGAGACACGGCCCAGACUCCUACGGGAGGCAGCAGUGGGGAAUAUUGGACAAUGGGCGAAAGCCUGAUCCAGCAAUGCCGCGUGAGUGAUGAAGGCCUUAGGGUUGUAAAGCUCUUUUACCCGGGAUGAUAAUGACAGUACCGGGAGAAUAAGCUCCGGCUAACUCCGUG
rnacentral:rRNA from 1 species